UACGUAGGUGGCAAGCGUUGUCCGGAAUUAUUGGGCGUAAAGCGCGCGCAGGCGGUCCUUUAAGUCUGAUGUGAAAGCCCCCGGCUCAACCGGGGAGGGUCAUUGGAAACUGGAGGACUUGAGUACAGGAGAGAAGAGUGGAAUUCCACGUGUAGCGGUGAAAUGCGUAGAGAUGUGGAGGAACACCAGUGGCGAAGGCGACUCUUUGGUCUGUAACUGACGCUGAGGCGCGAAAGCGUGGGGAGCAAACAGG
rnacentral:rRNA from 1 species